rnacentral:rRNA from 4 species
UAAGGAAUAUUGCGCAAUGGGGGAAACCCUGACGCAGCAACGCCGCGUGGAGGAUGACACUUUUCGGAGCGUAAACUCCUUUUAUCAGGAAAGAAUAAUGACGGUACCUGAUGAAUAAGCACCGGCUAACUCCGUGCCAGCAGCCGCGGUAAUACGGGGGGUGCAAGCGUUACUCGGAAUCACUGGGCGUAAAGGACGCGUAGGCGGAUUAUCAAGUCUUUUGUGAAAUCUAGUGGCUUAACCACUAAACUGCUUAGGAAACUGAUAGUCUAGAGUAGGGGAGAGGUAGAUGGAAUUCUUGGUGUAGGGGUAAAAUCCGUAGAGAUCAAGAAGAAUACCCAUUGCGAAAGCGAUCUGCUGGAACCUAACUGACGCUGAGGCGUGAAAGCGUGGGUAGCAAACAGG